AGAGUUUGAUCCUGGCUCAGAUUGAACGCUGGCGGCAUGCCUUACACAUGCAAGUCGAACGGCAGCACGGGAGCAAUCCUGGUGGCGAGUGGCGAACGGGUGAGUAAUGUAUCGGAACGUACCUUUCAGUGGGGGAUAACGUAGCGAAAGUUACGCUAAUACCGCAUAUUCUGUGAGCAGGAAAGCAGGGGAUCGCAGGACCUUGCGCUGAUUGAGCGGCCGAUAUCAGAUUAGCUAGUUGGUGAGGUAAAGGCUCACCAAGGCGACGAUCUGUAGCGGGUCUGAGAGGAUGAUCCGCCACACUGGAACUGAGACACGGUCCAGACUCCUACGGGAGGCAGCAGUGGGGAAUUUUGGACAAUGGGGGCAACCCUGAUCCAGCCAUGCCGCGUGAGUGAAGAAGGCCUUCGGGUUGUAAAGCUCUUUCAGCCGGGAAGAAAUCACAUGGGUUAAUACCCUGUGUGGAUGACGGUACCGGAAUAAGAAGCACCGGCUAACUACGUGCCAGCAGCCGCGGUAAUACGUAGGGUGCGAGCGUUAAUCGGAAUUACUGGGCGUAAAGCGUGCGCAGGCGGUUUGUUAAGAUAGGCGUGAAAUCCCCGGGCUCAACCUGGGAACUGCGUUUAUGACUGGCAGGCUAGAGUAUGGCAGAGGGGGGUGGAAUUCCACGUGUAGCAGUGAAAUGCGUAGAGAUGUGGAGGAACACCGAUGGCGAAGGCAGCCCCCUGGGCCAAUACUGACGCUCAUGCACGGAAGCGUGGGUAGCAAACAGGAUUAGAUACCCUGGUAGUCCACGCCCUAAACGAUGUCAACUAGGUGUUGGGUGGGUAAAACCAUUUAGUACCGGAGCUAACGCGUGAAGUUGACCGCCUGGGGAGUACGGCCGCAAGGUUAAAACUCAAAGGAAUUGACGGGGACCCGCACAAGCGGUGGAUGAUGUGGAUUAAUUCGAUGCAACGCGAAAAACCUUACCUACCCUUGACAUGUCCAGAAGCUCUUAGAGAUUUGAGUGUGCCCGAAAGGGAACUGGAACACAGGUGCUGCAUGGCUGUCGUCAGCUCGUGUCGUGAGAUGUUGGGUUAAGUCCCGCAACGAGCGCAACCCUUGUCGUUAAUUGCCAUCAUUUAGUUGGGCACUUUAACGAGACUGCCGGUGACAAACCGGAGGAAGGUGGGGAUGACGUCAAGUCCUCAUGGCCCUUAUGGGUAGGGCUUCACACGUCAUACAAUGGUCGGUACAAAGGGUUGCCAACCCGCGAGGGGGAGCUAAUCCCAGAAAGCCGAUCGUAGUCCGGAUCGUAGGCUGCAACUCGCCUGCGUGAAGUCGGA
rnacentral:rRNA from 1 species